UAGUGGGUUGGCAGGAGGUUGCUUGUAUUCUCAUGCUAAUAUUGCCUCCUUAUUUCUGAUUGGUAAAUAAAGAUGCCAACAGCCAAUAGCUGAGCAGAAGAGACAUCAGAGUGGGAGUUCGACCUCUGAUUCUGACACCUUAAUGGAGAUUUUUCUCAACGUUAAGAACCAACACAGAGGCUUCUCACAAGUUUCUCACGAGAUGCUGCCCUUCAGAAGCCUCUGGAGCUGGGCAUUCCUUGCCUCACACCACUGAGAGAGGAAACACAAGUUACCAACGCACUCACGGCUAGUAAGAAUCAACCAGGCAGCUGGCAUUCAGAACUCCUCUCCCGGCCUGUGAUCCUCCUGAAGGCAGAGUUCUGGUCACUUCCAGGAUCAAAAGAAAGCUGAGGACGGAUGGGCAGUAAUCCUGUCACACACCCUACAUGAGGGUGAAGGACUGGACGGGCUGCGGCCGGCUUUGCUUUGAGGGCCGCUGCACCGCACAGGAUCUGGAGUGCACAGGAGUUGUGGGGUUGCCAGGCCUGGGCGUCCCUCCAUUAUUUAGCGAUGAGUCUCACAUAGCCCAGAUUACCCUCAGAUUCACUGUGGAGCUGAGGACGAUCUUGAAAUCCCGAUUCUCCUGCCUCCAGCCUGUAAGUGAGCACAGAGAAGCACCCCCACCUCUGCACGAUGCACAGUUUAAACGGCAGCCAUAGGCCCGAUGUCAACGGGUAUUUUGGAUAUCCAUUUGACAUGAGGUCCAUGAAAUCACUUUGUUUUGUGAAUCGGCAAACUGUGUUAGUCAAAUUUCUAUUCUUAUAAUAAAAUACGAGAAACUGUGGGUUUUUUUUUAAGAGUUUUGUCUUUCUUGUAAUUAUAGAGGCUCAACACAUGCAUACCUUUGCUGAGCUGUCUUGAUGGCCUGUAGGCAGACACAUUGGCAGGACAGUAGGCAAGUCAGGAUGUUGUGGUGAGACAGGAAACAAGAAAGUAGGGAGAGUCAGGGUCUUACAACAACUUCCCAGGGUCUCAGAAC
rnacentral:lncRNA from 1 species